rnacentral:misc_RNA from 1 species
UUGACUUACUUUUUUUUCCACUCAGAGACGCCGCUGUAAUACAUGAGAGUUUGUGACCUCCGGCGGGCGCCCCUCGCCCCGGAGGGCGUGGGGCUGCGGUCCCCCGAGGGGUCCCGCGCCGCCGAAGCAACUUGGAUACGUUCGCGAUGGUUUGAAGUAGCCUUUCGGCUCCUUGUAAUGAUCCCUCCGCUGGUUCACCAACGGAGA